CCUCCAAGAAAGCGAAAGCCGGCGAAGGAGAGACGCCGCAGUUCCGUCCUCCCACCGCCAAAAUACCCUCGCCCAACCCCACCAUCAAACCAUUUCCCUUCUCCUCUUGUUCACUUCUCCGAGGAAAAAAGUUAAAGAAAGCAGGUGAAGUUCAUGGUGGUAUGGCCGACUCAAGGUUCGAAUGUGAGGAGACGCGGGUGCGGAUGUGGGUACAAAUCCAAGAAAGGAAAACCCCCUGAGUAAAGAAAACCAAGAAAAGCAGUGGGAGGGGGGAGAGACAGAGCGAGAAGGAGGCCUCAAAUUAUGGUUUGGGAUUACACUGGUUUUGGAUAUACAAGGUACAAUGCAGAGACAUUAACAAAUAAAUACUAGGGUGAGUUGUGGAGAAUAAAUUGCUUCAUAGAUCUUUAUUAUCAUGCUUACAGGUACUUAAAUUUGGAAAAUGUUUGUUUUUUACAUAUAGAAAUUUGGAAAUUUGGAUAAUCUUAUUGUGCAUAUGCUUCUUAAGUUUCAUCUUUCCCAAAAAAUUCUAAGCAUGUUAUCUUAGUCUUGUUCUUCAGUCAGCUUCUCCUUUAAUUGCUCAUCGACAAAAUAGAGCAUUCUCUCACGCCCUUUGUAAUGCUAAUCGCUUUUUGAACAUCUGAUUGUGAAAUGUUGACAUGCAAUGUGCGCACCCUGAUCUUAAUCCAAAACUGAAUUGCUUUUUAAACCAUCUCUAAUAUCACUUUCUGGAUAUAAAUUUUUGUUCAAAUGCUAUAUUAGUUUAACUUUAGGCUUCUGAAUUCGUUGAUUCUUAUCUGUAGAACUUGUUUGUUAUACUGC